rnacentral:rRNA from 1 species
AACGAACGCUGGCGGCAGGCUUAACACAUGCAAGUCGAACGCAUCCUUCGGGGUGAGUGGCAGACGGGUGAGUAACGCGUGGGAACGUGCCCUUCAGUUCGGGAUAACCCAGGGAAACUUGGGCUAAUACCGGAUACGUGCGAGAGCAGAAAGAUUUAUCGCUGAAGGAUCGGCCCGCGUCUGAUUAGCUAGUUGGUGGGGUAAUGGCCCACCAAGGCGACGAUCAGUAGCUGGUCUGAGAGGAUGAUCAGCCACAUUGGGACUGAGACACGGCCCAAACUCCUACGGGAGGCAGCAGUGGGGAAUAUUGGACAAUGGGCGCAAGCCUGAUCCAGCCAUGCCGCGUGAGUGAUGAAGGCCUUAGGGUUGUAAAGCUCUUUCGUCCGGGACGAUAAUGACGGUACCGGAAGGAGAAGCCCCGGCUAACUUCGUGCCAGCAGCCGUCGUAA